AUGGAAAGCGGUUGGCAGGAGUUAAGAAAUGGACUUCCUCUCAUAUCAACUGAAAGCAGUCAACGGGCAUUCUUCCAGUCGGUUCUGCUGUUAUUCGUCUCAUCUAAUGACCUCAAAAGGAUGAUUAAUUUGCUUCUGCACCACAUUUUUUUUGGAUUUUUCCCCCUAUUUUUAUUUUAUUUUAUUGUUCAUCCCUGGGCUCAUCUAAGACCGGGUUCCAAAACGCCGCGUCCUUCACUCAGCAGCUACAGUAAAGCAAUUUGGACCACAAGCUUAUUUGGUAUUGUAAAUAUUAAUAUUUUUUAA
rnacentral:rRNA from 1 species